CGCUGGCGCUCCACGAGGCCGUUAGCUCCCGACGAGCUGCGGUUCCACCUGGUGCCAACCUUCAAGCAUAGUCUUGUGGACUGUCUUCAUGUCAUUCAAGCAUCUGGAGACUCUGCUGUUAAGUUGGUGAAGCUAAAGGGAAGAAUCGGGCAUGAGCAGCAUUCCUUUACAAUCCCAAGCAAAGUGCCAUGGGGUGUGAGGAGUGUAAUACACAUUUACCACAAGGAUGAGAAGGAAACACAGCUUCCAGAAGAUGGAAACAGCCAAGCUUUGUGCAAAGAUUCCACUGGCUCUUGGGUGUAAGGGGAGUUGGAAAGAUGGACCAGAGUGCCAGGGUAGGAGGUGGGGCAUGGGCAGGGCUCCUUUGAUGCCGGCCAGCUGGGAAGCCAGGACCCAGCUCACUGCCAGGUGACCACAGGCAGAAAGGCGGGCUGCUGGGCUGGCCCUUCAGAGCACGUGUGAAGCAUGGAGCCUCCCGAGCUCCCAGGGUCUCAUCUGACUGAACUUGUGAGAGCUGGCAGGGGAGUUGCUAGCCACAUCCCAUGCAUGUUAUUGCCAUCCUAUCCAUCAAGUCUUCCCUUUCCCUCUGAUCGUCUUCGGGGGUGCUCCCCACAUUCCCACAGGAGAUUGUCCCUCCAAACUGCAUCUGCCGCCAUUGAGCGAGAGAGCCCAAGGACCAGGCUAACCUGUGGAAGUUAAAGAAAGAGUCAACCAGUGCCAACUCGCUCACAAAAUAAUUUGUCUGUCAGAACAGUAAGUUCAUUUCAGGCAAAUCAGUGGCAUGGGCUCCUUGCUCCUUCAGGGAGCAACAUUUCAUUUCAUGAUCAGAAGGAGGGGAGAGGAAAUGAGUUCUGGUAU